rnacentral:rRNA from 1 species
UACAGAGGUCUCGAGCGUUACUCGGAGUCACUGGGCUUAAAGGGUGCGUAGGCGGACUCGCAAGUGCUUUGUGAAAUCCCACGGCUCAACCGUGGAAUUGCUCGGCAGACUGCGGGUCUUGAGGUCGGUAGGGGCCGCCGGAACUCUAGGUGGAGCGGUGAAAUGCGUAGAUAUCUAGAGGAACGCCAAAGGUGAAGACAGGCGGCUGGGCCGAUUCUGACGCUGAGGCACGAAAGCGUGGGGAGCGAGCGGG